UACGGAGGAUGCGAGCGCUAUCCGGAUUUAUUGGGUUUAAAGGGUGCGUAGGCGGCCGAGUAAGUCAGCGGUGAAAUUUUGCAGCUUAACUGUAACAGUGCCGUUGAUACUGCAUGGCUAGGAUUUGGUUGCUGUGGGUGGAAUGUGUGGUGUAGCGGUGAAAUGCUUAGAUAUCACACAGAAUAUCAAUUGCGAAGGCAGCUCACAAAGCCAAGAUUGACGCUGAGGCACGAAAGUGUGGGGAUCAAA
rnacentral:rRNA from 1 species